UAUCGACAGGCAAGCACCGACAGCCGCAGAAUCACCGACAUCCGUCGCGCGAGGAGGAUUACAAAAACGCGGCGCUGAGAGCGAAGGAAUUGAACGAGGCGAGGCGACGGAAUCGUAGACAGAUCGUACCCACAAUGCACAAUCCCACCUUGAUGCUGUUUUCUGGCACCCCACAUAACACACGCAUUCACGAAGAAGCUGCAAAAGCGAUGAGUUUCGUCGCUCCAAUCUUGUGAUCACGAGAGGAGAACCCGUCGCGACGCACCGAGAGGAAUGACAAAUCCGAACCCAGAAACAAUAGGUAGUAGAAAAAGCCUUUUCCCUCUCGAUUUUGGUAGGAAGUUUUUGUGCAGCGCUGCAAUGUUCUGCAAGAUUUCGAAGAGUGCUCCAGCUAGUGCUUGCUACUCGGAUAGCUUCGCUGACACCUGGAACUGGGUUCAGAUUCGAUACAUUGCCGAUCCAGACAGUGGUUUCAUAAACAUACGUCGUUGUGAAUAGGUACCGAAACAUCGGUGUUGUUGACGUUGUGGACGCGCUACGCUGUGCGACCUUUCUGAAGAGGCUGUCGAGAAAGCAUGGAACUAACCCAGAGGUGGAGUUGAAGAUGCAGUGGCCUUGGCGACACCGUGAGAGGAUUUCGGUACCUUUCCGGCAGCAAAUUUAAGAGAAGGAUUCAUCUUCUGCUUUCGCUGCAAUACGGAAGAAAUGGUUGAAAUUUUGCACGUUGGGUUUGUUAAGAUAAGCUAGAUUCGUACGAAACUUCACCAUACAUUAUUGGCGUGGCUGUAUAAAACUAUGUCAGAUUCUCUUGUGGAAUCUAAAUUGGUGAGCCAGGCCAAUUACUGAAAAUAGGCAAUCGAGGGUCGAAAUCCCUUCAACCACUUGGAUACCAAUUGGACGCUACUGUUCUGUACAACAUGCAGAAGAAUCCGAGGCCUUUUCGAUAUAGAUUUUGCUAAAGUUUGUCUCAGUCAUUUCGUUGAGGGCUUUGGACACUAGAAGGUGGUGUUGAUACUACAAUUCUGGAUUUGGAAGCACUGUAUUGCCAUAGGAGGUUUUCCAACUACUGCAGCUGAUCAGCUCAACCCAUUUAAGUUCUGUAUCCAAGGUGUAUGGCAUCAAAAAAAUACGUUGAAAGAAAUGCUCAGAGGCUUGCAAUUGAACCACAAACGAAGUAGUCUUCAACAGACGAGGUUUCAAUGUCCAACUGACUUACAAUUGUAUUGCCUCAAAAUUUGGAUGCUCUUGAACCGUGAUCAAGGUGGACUCUGUCACUUAACAACACAAGAGGCCAGAGAAUACAUUAAAAAUCAAAGACAACCUCCCCUCCAAUUUGAACGUGAAUUGCAAAUUGUCCAACACGGAGCUGACCCAUUAGUUUAAUCGGGAUUUUAUAAAACUAUUCCUGAUGUAAUAAUGGCGCUUUAGGGUUUCAUGGCCCUCCACAAUGACCCUGUCGUCACUAAAUGCCUUUCGGUUGGAAGUAAUUUUGUGGUAUGUGAUAAGCUCAAUUGGAGCGAAUCGUUGUCUUGCUGGCAGAUUUUGGGUUCGAAUAAAUGGGGAUGGUGGGUACUCCAUUUUACAGCGCAAGCCAUCGCGAUUCUCAUACCUACGAUCGUGUGUUGUUGAGUGGCGGGCGGUUGGAGGUGGAUGUGAAUUUUGGCUGAUUUUAAAGUAGUGCAUUUAGUUGGGUUGUGAAUGAAUAUUCAUCAAGAGGUUUGUCAGACCUCGCAUGCGAGAUGUCGAUUGUUGGUCGCAGAAUUGAGGUGAAGGAUACCAUUACGGGCUUAAUUGUGAGGAUUGAGCGGGAGAAGAAAUCCUCAAUGAAUUGUGAAGAAGCUUGUGUCUAGAGGUUUUAAUGGAGGAAGGGUUACACGUCCGAAGAACUAAUUUGUGAAGAGCGGUAGAAGAUAAAGUUGUUUUUGUUGAAGUAUGCAUUCUUUUGAUGAAUUUGUUUAAAUAUCAUGCUAGGCCUUGUAGAGACUUCUUUCUAGAGAGAGAUAUACCUCAAUUCAAGAGAAUGUGUCUCAUUUGUGCAGCAUGAAUGUCAAAGGUGUGGUCUGCUACCACGUCAAGAGUACUGUCUUCAUUGUGUAGCAAUUAGUGUCACUACAUAUUUUUAGCUGCUCGAUUGUGAUUGUAGCAUGUAGUUGCUUGUGGAACGAGUGCAGCUGUGAACAAGCCUCUUUUUAUGCUGGGAUUGUACGUUUCCAAGUAUUCAAGCCAAAUUAACGAAGCAGGUCUUGGAAGAGUUCCACUUGAUAACCAGACGAUACACAACACAAGAAGAAUGCUGGAAGUGGAUGCCGAGUGUGUCUAUGCUUACAUGUAAAAGGCAAAAUGUAGCAGAUUCAAUCAAGAAUGUUAUGGAAUUUGUGCUUCAAAAUUCCCUCAGUAAGAUUGAAGCCACUCUUGUGGACUCUUUGGAUUCCAAUGAUCCACCUAAGCGGGAAGAUGAAGUUGUUCAGCUUGAGAGGUAUCACCUACAGAAACUUGUCGUCAAGGACGAGGACUUGUGGUGCGACCGUGUAUGUGUACAUGUGAAGGUCGAAAUGGACAGCACUCUUUGGCAUAAAUUACCACCGACUAUUUAAGAAUUUGUGUUUGCGCAGCUAGCUCUCCAUCAAAUUUUCCAGUUGCGUGUUUUUUUUAAAGCAUUGGCGGUCUUCAAUUACCUCAGCUAGGUUUCAAAUCGCUUUUGGCUCUAUUGCAUCACGUAAGUCCUCAUAUAUUGGUCUUUUUAAGCUCAUGUCUUCCCAUUAUGCUUGCUAUAUUGAUGUCAGUUAUUAACACUUGACUUGGAAUGGAUUUUAUCUCUUGUAACUUAGGUGCGUAAACAUGAAGGAUGUUCACAUUGGCAUGCAUGUUAGCCUCGCAAGUUUGCUUUGAUAGUUGAGACGGAACGAAAAAGUUUGUGGUGUUUUUGGCCCGUGGAGGGGGUACGAUAUUCGAGUCAAUUUUAUUUCCUUCCUCUGCAUUACAAUGUUCCAAUUGCUGGAAAUGGAAGAUUAAUAUAUUGUAAGCGUCCUGUUUCCAUGGCAAGCAGAGACUACCGGGUUAGUAUCCAUACACUAAUCAAGCAACAAGAAUGAUCACCUUGAGAAACAUAAGUGACGAUGCGUUCUAUUUGUUGCAUUUUUUGUUACUAUUGUUCAUGUGUUAUUUUUCUUAUCAAAGAAGACGAUUUCUUGUACUUAUUGGUGUUGUUUGGCAUAUGUUGGAUUUUAGUUAAUGUUCAUACAUGUAGAUUCUGAAUUAAGUCUUGGCUCUCGGUUGCUGACAAGCCCUCUUUAUUUGCGUCUGUGCAAAUAGGUUGCUGCCAUGCAGGAUUUACAGCUAUAUGUGUGCGAUCCACUCACUCAAAUAUGGAAAAAGCUUCCUCUUCCUUCUCACGUGCGUAACUUCAACCUUGUACACCUAGUAGUUGACAAACCAACCAAACAGUACACCAUCAUUGUUGUAGACCACCUUCAAAACCAAAAUGCAAAAGCAAGUGUAGAAGUCUAUGACUCCACAAAGAACAAGUGGACUACUGAUGGCGGUAUUUUUAAGUCAACUACACUACAAGAAGCAAUUUUGUCUACUAAGAUUAUGAAGCUUGUGAUUUUGUGGAAAUCAGAGUUUAUGACAAGAUAAUUGGCUACACCAACAUAGCCAUGUAUGUAUAUGAGGACAUCUUUUUCUUUGAAGAAAGAGGGUUUUUUCCAUUGAUAGAGUAUAAAGGUUAAAUAUAUAUGUGAUAAGGAUUGAAUUGGCAAUGAGUGGAAUUUAAGUA